rnacentral:rRNA from 1 species
UAGGGAAUUUUCGUCAAUGGGCGGCAAGCCUGAACGAGCAAUGCCGCGUGAACGAGGAAGGUCUUCGGAUCGUAAAGUUCUGUUGAAGGGGAAAAAGAGCGGAGAGAGGAAAU